rnacentral:rRNA from 1 species
CAGUAGCCGCGGUAACACGUAGGUCCCGAGCGUUGUCCGGAUUUAUUGGGCGUAAAGCGAGCGCAGGCGGUUAGAUAAGUCUGAAGUUAAAGGCUGUGGCUUAACCAUAGUGCGCUUUGGAAACUGUUUAACUUGAGUGCAAGAGGGGGGAGUGGAAUUCCAUGUGUAGCGGUGAAAUGCGUAGAUAUAUGGAGGAACACCGGUGGCGAAAGCGGCUCUCUGGCUUGUAACUGACGCUGAGGCUCGAAAGCGUGGGGAGCAAACAGGAUUAGAUACCCCGGUAGUCCCUGUCUCUUAUACA